UACGAAAGGUGCAAGCGUUACUCGGAAUCACUGGGCGUAAAGCGUACGUAGGCGGACUCGUAGGUCAAUUGUGAAAUACCUGGGCUCAACCCGGGAACUGCAGUUGAAACCGCUUGUCUUGAAUACCUGAGAGGGUGGGGGAAUACCUGGUGGAGAAGGUGAAAUUCGUAGAGAUCAGGUGGAACACCGGAGGCGAAGGCGCCUGCCUGGCAGUGUAUUGACGCUGAGGUGCGAAAGUGCGGGAGCAAACAGG
rnacentral:rRNA from 1 species